rnacentral:rRNA from 1 species
GGAAAGAUCGGGGAAGCGGCGGCGGUAAGACGGGGGGUGCAGUCGUUAAUCGGAAGUACUGGGCGUAAAGGGGACGUAGGCGGGGUUCGAAGUCAGAAGUGAAAUCCCCGGGCUUAACCUGGGAACGGCAACUGAUACUGGAAAACUAGAAUGUGGGAGAGGAGAGUGGAAUUUCCGGUGUAGCGGUGAAAUGCAUAGAGAUCGGAAGGAACACCAGUGGCGAAGGCGGCUCUCUGGACCAACAUUGACGCUGAGGUGCGAAAGCGUGGGUAGCAAACAGGAUUAGAUACCCCGGUAGUC